GUAUCUAUUUUUCAAGCUGUCUUCAACUUAGACUCUUUAGCCUGUGACAGAAAAUUUUACUUGAAAUAAAUUACUCAACUUCKUUUAAUAGCAAAAUUGCAGUAUUUAGUUUUUGGAAUUUGAUUCAGAACAAGCAACCAAAGGGCAGUAGAAGCUGCCAGUAGAGCGAGGAUGGAUUUGCCAUGUUAUACUUGGAUGCAUGUGUGGUGGCAGUGCAAUCUGUCUCCUGUUAUGUGACAAGGUGUGCAUCCAAGACAACUAGAUGCUCAUGGGGAGGCUCUAAGCUCUUUAUCUUUUCUCCUUCUCAGUAAAUCUAUACCUGCAUAAGGCCAGUUAGAUUCAACAAGCCAAUUUCAAAAGGUUGGACAAGCAGGUACAGUGUACAGUUCUGUUUAAUUACUGUCUUUUGUCUGAGGUAUGAGAAAGGUUGUCAUGGUAGGAAGACUGGCUCUGGCUAAGCCAUAUUGGUUCUUCUCUGUUUUCCCCUGGGAAGUCAUAUUCUUUCACAUUGUUUCCACUACUGUAGAUUGUAAAAGUCUGUCUGAUGUUGUAGAAGUCUUACAAAUAUGCCUAAUAAAAUCAGAGUACUAAUCCUCAUUUUUUUAUAAUUUCAGAAGAACAUACUCAAGUUACUUUCCAAAGGCAAACUAAAAAAAAAAAAAAAAUCUCAUUCUCUUUCUGUAAUGUCAUAAAUCUGAAGUAGCCCCUCUACUCAACAGAACGACACAGAAGUAAUGGAGAUGAGGAGAGGCUUCCAAGUUCUACUUCCUAAAUCCUGGCUCCCUUUUGAUGUGAAAACUCUGUGUGAACACAAAGGGAUUGCAAACAGAGAAAAAAAUAUAUAUUUCUCUUGUUAAAUAUCAUUAUUCCAUACAACUUUCCAAUCCUGCUUAGAUUUCUUUCUUUUUCUAUUCAGAAGGGCAUAGUUCUUUAAAAAAAAAAAAAAAAAAAAAUCAAAUCAAUGUGUUUAGAUCAAUGAAAAUCCAACUCCUUCAAGAGUACGGCAGACUAUUUCAGAAAUGGGAAUGCGUUUCUAAAAGGCCAGACGCUCAGCCAGAGAUGGACAAGAUGAUCAGGGGCUUGGAAGAGCAGCUGGAUCACCCUGGCAAGUACCUCAGGAAGGCAGAGCUAACUGCUCCUAAUACGGCUGGAGAGCCAGGGUUUUUUGUUUCUGGUUUCAUCUGUAACUCAGGCAAACACACACUAUGCAAAAGAAAAAUUCUGGAAGAGUUCAUUAACAGGUAUGUAAACAACAAAUGCAUGUCACUAGUACCUCUUACUGCAAAAGUUCAGUAAGUACUCUAUGCAUCGUCGGAUUUUAAAGCGUAAUAUAAAUCUAUUCCUUCUGCUCAGGUCUGGAAAUAUCUCUGU
rnacentral:lncRNA from 1 species